GACGAACGCUGGCGGCGCGCUUAACACAUGCAAGUCGAACGGAAAGGCCUGCUUUCCCUUGUGGAUUGCGGGUACUCGAGUGGCGAACGGGUGAGUAACACGUGAGUGAUCUGCCCCCAACUUGGGUAUAAGCCUGGGAAACUGGGUCUAAUUCCCGAUAGGACUGCAGGGUGGUGCCUGUGGUGGCAAACGAUUUUCUAGUGGUUGGGGAUGAGCUCGCGGCCUAUCAGCUUGUUGGUGGGGUAAUGGCCUACCAAGGCGGCGACGGGUAGCCGGCCUGAGAGGGUGGACGGCCACAUUGGGACUGGGAUACGGCCCAGACUCCUACGGGAGGCAGCAGUGGGGAAUAUUGCACAAUGAGCGGAAGCCUGAUGCAGCGACGCCGCGUGGGGGAUGACGGCCUUCGGGUUGUAAACUCCUUUCGACCGCGAGGAAGCCACCUGGUUGGAAGGGUGGUGACGGUAGUGGUAGAAGAAGCACCGGCUAACUACGUG
rnacentral:rRNA from 1 species